AGUGAACGCUGGCGGUAGGCCUAACACAUGCAAGUCGAACGGCAGCACAGUAAGAGCUUGCUCUUACGGGUGGCGAGUGGCGGACGGGUGAGGAAUACAUCGGAAUCUACUUUUUCGUGGGGGAUAACGUAGGGAAACUUACGCUAAUACCGCAUCCGACCUACGGGUGAAAGCAGGGGACCUUCGGACCUUGCGCGAUUGAUUGAGCGGAUGUCGGAUUAGCUAGUUGGCGGGGUAAAGGCCCACCAAGGCGACGAUCCGUAGCUGGUCUGAGAGGAUGAUCAGCCACACUGGAACUGAGACACGGUCCAGACUCCUACGGGAGGCAGCAGUGGGGAAUAUUGGACAAUGGGCGCAAGCCUGAUCCAGCCAUACCGCGUGGGUGAAGAAGGCCUUCGGGUUGUAAAGCCCUUUUGUUGGGAAAGAAAAGCAGCAGGUUAAUACCCCGCUGUUCUGACGGUACCCAAAGAAUAAGCACCGGCUAACUUCGUG
rnacentral:rRNA from 1 species